rnacentral:sRNA from 1 species
UAUUCUGCCCCAUGGGGAAGGAUGAGAAGCUUCGACUAAGGUUCGACUCGAGCGCCAGCGAGAGAACGUUGCCGCCGGCAACGGCCCGAAGGGCGAGGCGCUUUAGCGCCGAGUAAUCCUUCCCCCACCACCA